ACGUGUUGGAGUGGCCUUCGGGCCCGUCCUCCAUAAACCCACCUCUGUGUAGCAUUCCCUGUUGCUUCCGCGGGACAUCGGGGUUCGCCCUGGACGUCGGCGAGGAGGGGCCUCCUUCUGGGAGGAUUCUUCCGAGCCCGGCGGAGCGCCCGCGGGAGGUCAAUCAGAAACCCUUUUGCGAUACAUAGCUUCUGUCUGAAUGAAUAAAUAUAAUAAGUUA
rnacentral:misc_RNA from 1 species